UACGGGGGGGGUAAGCGUUGUUCGGAAUUACUGGGCGUAAAGGGCUCGUAGGCGGCCAACUAAGUCAGACGUGAAAUCCCUCAGCUUAACUGGGGAACUGCGUCUGAUACUGGAUGGCUUGGAUUCGGGAGAGGAAUGCGGAAUUCCAGGUGUAGCGGUGAAAUGCGUAGAUAUGCGGAGGAACACCGAUGGCGAAGGCAAUCCCCUGGGCCUGGCACUGACGCUCAUGCACGAAAGCGUGGGGAGCAAACAGG
rnacentral:rRNA from 1 species